AUUGAACGCUGGCGGCAGGCCUAACACAUGCAAGUCGAGCGGAUGAAGGGAGCUUGCUCCUGGAUUCAGCGGCGGACGGGUGAGUAAUGCCUAGGAAUCUGCCUGGUAGUGGGGGAUAACGUCCGGAAACGGGCGCUAAUACCGCAUACGUCCUGAGGGUGAAAGUGGGGGAUCUUCGGACCUCACGCUAUCAGAUGAGCCUAGGUCGGAUUAGCUAGUUGGUGGGGUAAAGGCCUACCAAGGCGACGAUCCGUAACUGGUCUGAGAGGAUGAUCAGUCACACUGGAACUGAGACACGGUCCAGACUCCUACGGGAGGCAGCAGUGGGGAAUAUUGGACAAUGGGCGAAAGCCUGAUGCAGCCAUGCCGCGUGUGUGAAGAAGGUCUUCGGAUUGUAAAGCACUUUAAGUUGGGAGGAAGGGCAGUAAGUUAAUACCUUGCUGUUUUGACGUUACCAACAGAAUAAGCACCGGCUAACUUCGUG
rnacentral:rRNA from 1 species